UGAGGAAUAUUGGUCAAUGGUCGGAAGACUGAACCAGCCAUGCCGCGUGCAGGAAGACGGCCUUAUGGGUUGUAAACUGCUUUUUUAUAGGAAGAAUAAGUGCUACGAGUAGUGCGAUGACGGUACUAUAAGAAUAAGCAUCGGCUAACUCCGUGCCAGCAGCCGCGGUAAUACGGAGGAUGCGAGCGUUAUCCGGAAUCAUUGGGUUUAAAGGGUCUGUAGGCGGGCUGUUAAGUCAGGGGUGAAAGUUUGCAGCUUAACUGUAAAAUUGCCUUUGAUACUGAUAGUCUUGAAUUAUUGUGAAGUUGUUAGAAUGUGUGGUGUAGCGGUGAAAUGCAUAGAUAUUACACAGAAUACCGAUUGCGAAGGCAGAUGACUAACAAUGUAUUGACGCUGAUAGACGAAAGCGUGGGGAGCGAACA
rnacentral:rRNA from 1 species